rnacentral:rRNA from 1 species
AUUGAACGCUGGCGGCAGGCCUAAUACAUGCAAGUCGAGCGCGCGGAGGACGGGAGAGUAAUGUUUGGGGAUCUGCCCGAUAGAGGGGGUUAACUAUUGGCAACGGUGGCUAAUACCGCAUAUUAUUGGCUGAACCCAUAUGGGAUUAGCUAGUAGGUGGGGUAAAGGCUCACCUAGGCGACGAUCUAUAGCUGGUCUGAGAGGAUGAUCAGCCACACUGGGACUGAGACACGGCCCAGACUCCUACGGGAGGCAGCAGUGGAGAAUAUUGCACAAUGGGCGCAAGCCUGAUGCGGCCAUGCCGCGUGUAUGAAGAAGGCCUUAGGGUUGUAAAGUCCUUUCAGCGGGGAGGCGUUACCCGCCGAAGAAGCACCGGCUAACUCCGUGCCAGCAGCCGCGGUAAUUC